rnacentral:rRNA from 1 species
UAGGGAAUCUUCGGCAAUGGACGAAAGUCUGACCGAGCAACGCCGCGUGAGUGAAGAAGGUUUUCGGAUCGUAAAACUCUGUUGUUAGAGAAGAACAAGGACGUUAGUAACUGAACGUCCCCUGACGGUAUCUAACCAGAAAGCCACGGCUAACUACGUGCCAGCAGCCGCGGUAAUACGUAGGUGGCAAGCGUUGUCCGGAUUUAUUGGGCGUAAAGCGAGCGCAGGCGGUUUCUUAAGUCUGAUGUGAAAGCCCCCGGCUCAACCGGGGAGGGUCAUUGGAAACUGGGAGACUUGAGUGCAGAAGAGGAGAGUGGAAUUCCAUGUGUAGCGGUGAAAGGCGUAGAUAUAUGGAGGAACACCAGUGGCGAAGGCGGCUCUCUGGGCUGUAACUGACGCUGAGGCUCGAAAGCGUGGGGAGCAAACAGG